GCCCGGCUAGCUCAAUCGGUAGAGCGUGAGACUCUUACGCCUAAUCAGCGAAGGUCCACAUCAUCUCAAGGUUGUGGGUUCGACCCCCACGUCGGGCU
rnacentral:tRNA from 1 species